AUAGCCACUCAUGGAUUCAGUCGACACUGGAUAACUAUCUCUCCUGCCAAGAGUCACACAACAUGCAAGCAGGUCAUUCGGCUCAACUUACUCAAACUGACCAACAUGUCAAGGGUCA